ACUCAAGUGUCUGGAAUAGAGUCUGGAAAAAAGAUGAGAAUUUACAUUUUGAAAUGGCUCCACUAUUAAAAGAGGAAAUGGUAAAUGACUGAAUACUCUGUAUACAUCUUACUCAUGCAUUCUAUUUCUGACUUUAUUUCCUGUCCCUUAAUAUUUACAUCCGUAAACUAUGUGCAAAAUUGAAGAAGUUUCAAUUUGGAAGAACCUGCAGCAUUUCAAGGAAACCUUUGUCUUUUUCAGUUUGAGGGUGCUGUCAGUGGCUCAGGUAUUUGCUUAUUUAUAAAAAGUGUCUAUCCAAACUUAGACAAGGCUUAUCCUGCUCAACCUACUCCCUCAAAACAAACUUGGGAAAAUAGGUCUUGCAGAGUGCCCUGAAAGUCUGGUCAACACAUCCAUUAAUGUUUGUGAAGUGCUCAGAUUCUAUGGUGAUGGAGACGUAAGAAGAGAGAGCAAACUUUGGCUCUGUCUGACUGAGGAAGGGAGUUAGGCCCAGAUCCUCAAAGGUAUUUAGGCAUCUAACUCCCAUUGAUGUUAGGAUUUGAGGAUCUGGACCUUAGUUCCACAGUCAAGGGCCUUUUAUUGGGAAUAUUCCAUCCCCAGCACUGAGACAAAUAUAUACUAGGGUCUAAAUUUAUUUCAAUUGCCGUGUAACAGAUACUACCUAAAUAUCACAUUAAUGGACACAUUAGAUAUAACUUAGGUCAGUUAGAGGGAGAGAAAGAAACACGAGAGAGGCAUUCUCUUUGAUACGUACGAUAUUCUGAUCAUCUAGAGAAGAGUGCAUAAUGCGUUAAGCUUUAGUACCCUAGUUAUUCAUUGUAGAACAGCACUGCUGCUUCAGGAGAGGUUGCCUGUCCUCGAAUCCUGAAAAAGCUAUAUGAUGUCCAAGGUCUAUUUGAAGGAAUUAUUUGUAUGUUGCUCUCUUUGCAUUAUAGGAUCUCAGCAGAUGUACCAGGACGGCAUACGUUAUAGCUGAGAAAAUUAAGAGGCAGCCCUUAAAAACUGGGACUAGAUCUUGCUGAUAUUUGGAGCUCUGACUGUAACAAAUAGUGAAACAAAGGUGCUCAGGAUGCCAAGCAUAGGAAACCAAAUAAAAGAAUGAAAACUAUCAAGAAAUACAUUUUUUUCUACCAACACUCAGCACUGAAGAUACUCUCUGCAAAGAUGACCUGAAAAGAAACAACUUCAAAGAACAGAGACUUUGUGAUAGCUCUUCAGCUUCAAAAGUUAAAGAUUUGAGGGAAAAUUUCAUGCUGGCAAAGAUGACCGCAAGACCUACAUUUUCGCUGCCUUUUACUUCUUUUAAGGUAUGCACCAGGAACCUUAGAAAUGUCUUAUUAACUGAAACUUCAUUAUAUACCAGCUGACUAAAUUCUUACAGUUUAUUCUAGUAAACAAAAGGUGAUUCCUUUAAUGAGCAUAUAAAUAAUUCUUAGGCAUUUCCCAGGGUGUCCUAAAACUUUUUCCUAUUUAAAGCUAGCAGUUUCAUCUUUGAUAAAUUUUUAGAUUCUGCUAAUAUUUAAUACUGGCAGUUGGACGCUAAGAUCUGCAAGUACAAUCCUCAUCCACAAUUGUACUUAAUGUCCCUCCAUUUGAUUUUUGUAGAACACAGAGUGGAAAUUAAUGCCUAUCUGGUUUAUCAUUAGAGUUGAUUUUCUGACUCCAUAUACGGGUGCAAGUUUGGAACUUACCAUUUUU